UACGGAGGGUGCGAGCGUUAAUCGGAAUUACUGGGCGUAAAGCGCGCGUAGGCGGUUUGGUCAGUCAGAUGUGAAAGCCCCGGGCUCAACCUGGGAACUGCAUUUGAUACUGCUGAACUAGAGUGUGGUAGAGGGAAGUGGAAUUCCGGGUGUAGCGGUGAAAUGCGUAGAGAUCCGGAGGAACAUCAGUGGCGAAGGCGGCUUCCUGGACCAACACUGACGCUGAGGUGCGAAAGCGUGGGUAGCAAACAGG
rnacentral:rRNA from 1 species